rnacentral:piRNA from 1 species
UAGCCACCAAUAACUGAUUCCAGGGG